UACGGAGGGUCCAAGCGUUAUCCGGAAUCAUUGGGUUUAAAGGGUCCGUAGGCGGUUUUGUAAGUCAGUGGUGAAAGCCCAUCGCUCAACGGUGGAACGGCCAUUGAUACUGCAAGACUUGAAUUAUUAGGAAGUAACCAGAAUAUGUAGUGUAGCGGUGAAAUGCUUAGAGAUUACAUGGAAUACCAAUUGCGAAGGCAGGUUACUACUAAUGGAUUGACGCUGAUGGACGAAAGCGUGGGUAGCGAACAGG
rnacentral:rRNA from 1 species